rnacentral:rRNA from 1 species
UCUUUUCCUUUUGUUUCAGCCGCCGCGGUAAUACGUAUGGUGCAAGCGUUAUCCGGAUUUACUGGGUGUAAAGGGAGCGUAGACGGAGUGGCAAGUCUGAUGUGAAAACCCGGGGCUCAACCCCGGGACUGCAUUGGAAACUGUCAAUCUAGAGUACCGGAGAGGUAAGCGGAAUUCCUAGUGUAGCGGUGAAAUGCGUAGAUAUUAGGAGGAACACCAGUGGCGAAGGCGGCUUACUGGACGGUAACUGACGUUGAGGCUCGAAAGCGUGGGGAGCAAACAGG